rnacentral:rRNA from 1 species
UACGAAGGGUGCAAGCGUUACUCGGAAUUACUGGGCGUAAAGCGUGCGUAGGUGGUUUGUUAAGUCUGUUGUGAAAGCCCCGGGCUCAACCUGGGAAUGGCAAUGGAUACUGGCAAGCUAGAGUGCGGUAGAGGGUAGUGGAAUUCCCGGUGUAGCGGUGAAAUGCGUAGAGAUCGGGAGGAACACCGGUGGCGAAGGCGGCAUCCUGGACCGGCACUGACGCUGAGGAGCGAAAGCCAGGGGAGCAAACGGG